GCACUUCUCCUCGCUGCUGCCACGUGAGAAAGGAUGUGUUUGCUUCCCCUUCUGCCGUGAUUGUUUCCUGAGGCCUCCCCCCCAUGCUGAACUAUGCAAUCUUCCUCCUUUGUCAAGUGAAUACACUAAGGAUGUUGGAUCCAAAAGUCAGUUAGUGACAGCUAAUCCCAGCAUAAUUCGGCAAAGGUUUCAGAACCUUCUGUGGUCCAGAAAGACAUUUGUGGACAACAUGAAAAUCUAUAACCACAGUUACAUCUACAUGCCUGCCUUUUCUAUGAAGACAGGAACAGAGCCAUCUUUGAGGGUUUAUUAUACACUGUCAGAUGUUGGUGCCAAUCAAACAGUGCUGUUUGCCAACCCCAACUUUCUGCGUAGCAUUGGAAAGUUCUGGAAAAGUAGAGGAAUCCAUGCCAAGCGCCUGUCCACAGGACUUUUUCUGGUGAGCGCAGCUCUGGGUCUCUGUGAAGAGGUGGCCAUCUAUGGCUUCUGGCCCUUCUCUGUGAAUAUGCAUGAGCAGCCCAUCAGCCACCACUACUAUGACAACGUCUUACCCUUUUCUGGCUU
rnacentral:sRNA from 1 species